GACAGAGGCCUCAAGCGUUAGGCGGAAUCACUGGGCUUAAAGCGUGUGUAGGCGGAUCGUUAAGUGCCUUGUGAAAUCCCACGGCUUAACUGUGGAACGGCUGGGCAUACUGGCGGUCUUGAGCCAUCUAGGGGCGACUGGAACAAACGGUGGAGCGGUGAAAUGCGUAGAUAUCGUUUGGAACGCCAAUGGUGAAAACAGGUCGCUGGGGAUGAGCUGACGCGUGAGACACGGAAAGCCCAGGGGAGCAAACGGG
rnacentral:rRNA from 1 species